rnacentral:lncRNA from 1 species
GUCCCCUGAGACGCACUGGCUUAUUCCGUGGAGUCAUGCCGUGUGCUUAUGGAGUCGCAGCGUGAUGAUCUUUCCCUCCUGAACGAAUGAAAAGAAGAGCGUUUGCACAGAAAAGAGUGGAAAGUCUAUACUGUAGCACCUGAUGCCUUGGGAGUGGCCUUCGGAGUUGGGCUUGGAGCGGGGCUGGUCUUUGGAGGAGAUGUGCUUGGAGCGGGGGUGGUCUUUGGAGGAGAUGGGCUUGGAGCGGGGCUGGUCUUUGGAGAUGGGCUUGGUGUUGGGCUUGAACUGGGACUUUCCGUGCAUCCUGUUAACAGCAAAACUCUAUCAAGUUCAUGGUUCAAGUUUGCCCAGACAAA